rnacentral:lncRNA from 1 species
CCCAUCUAUUUGGACUAAUUUUCUUCUUCUGGGCAUUCACCUGAGAAGUAUCUGUAUAUCCAUAAUAUAAAAAUAAUUUAAAAUAUUACUUAAAAUUAAAGGUUUGCACCUUUAAAAAUUGUGCCACAAAAGCAAUUUGAUUAAAUCAACCUCUCAUCUAUUUCAGAAUCCCAUCAGUUAAAAAAAAAAAACAUAAAAAAUAAGAACAGGAAAAUGAUGUGAUUAGGUGAUGCUAGUCAUAUUAUUUUUGCUCAAAAUGCCUAGAGGCAAUAUGCCUUGGAAAACUGAGUUAGGUGGGAAUGAGAAGAUCUGGAUUCUAGUGUUGAUUCCAUCACCAGUUAACAGUAUGAAUUCAGCCAAUCCUUGCCAAUCUGGAUCUGAGCUUCCUGGGCUGUAACGUGAAGAGUUUGAAUUUAGUAGAUGGUCUCCAAAGCCUUUCAGUUUCAAAGUUUCUCUAAACCCUGUAAUUAUAAGUGACUAAAUCCAGUUCACCUAAUUACUACCACUACUCUUUUACAUCCUUCAUUUCUUCAGCAAACAUCCGGUCACCUUGGGGGCGCAGGGGGUGGAGGAUGUCAAACACCAUUAGCCACAGUUUGGCACGACAUUUAUGGAGGGGGAGCGACAAACAAUGCAAGGGCAGCUAGCUGAUGAUUUUAACUGUUAGCGAGCUUACACCUGUGGAGCGAAUGUGUUUCUGAAUUUGAAAGGCCGGAAGAUUUUCCCCCUGGGCUAAGCUGGUGACGCCGCGGGAGUGCCUAGCUCUGAGCAAAGAACCAGUUCCUGUGAUAUCCCAGGGGCGAUAGUGCCUUUCUCUCCGGGUGCUUUGAGGAUUACAUGAGAUGACAAAUACGAGAGUGGCGGGCACAGCCUGACCCAGGUCACUGUUUGAAGAAUGUGGAUGUCUACUCAUUCAUGAAGCUCUGUGAAGAGUCACACUCUGUCCCACAGGCUGGAGUGCAGUGGUGUGAUCUCGACUCAUGGCAACUGCCGUCUCCUGGACUCAAGUGAUUCUUGUGCCUCAGCCUCCUGAGUAACUGGGACUACAGGCAUGCACCACCACGUCUGGGUAAUCUUUGUAUUUUUCAGUAGAGAUAGGGUUUCACCAUGUUGGCCAGGCUGGUCUUGAACACCUGGCCCCAAGAGAUCCACCCACCUUGGCCUCCCAAAGUUCUGGGAUUACACGUGUGAGCCACAGUGUCUGGCCUGUUAUAUUUUCUUAAUAGUUUUAUCUCCCUAUCUAUUGUCACUGAUCUCCAGACUCAUCUUCCGUCAUGCAUGGCUCACUAGAACCACUAUACUUCCAUUACUUUAGCCUCUCUCCCCGCCCAACUAUACAGCUAAUUUCUUGACACUGUGCCUUAUAUUCUUUCUACUGGAAACUCUGGCCAUUCCUAUUCCCCAUAUUUACUUCAUCGAAAUGGGACUCUUUUGCCUGUUGGUUGGCCAAAGUCCUCUUCCAACAGCCUCCUAUCCACCCUUCAUUAUCAUGCUUCUCAACACUAAUGGGCACCCUCUGUUACAUCCUCAUUCUUGUUCUGUGAAGUCGCCAUGCACAUUCCUACCCCUGUUCUUUCACCCAUACUCUUUCCCAUGUCUGGGCUACCCCUUCCUUUCUGUCUUCUGCCUACGGAGAUCUAACAGCAUCAUUGAAGGUCCAAUUCAAAUCCCAACUUCUAGUGAUAUCUGUAACUUCCCUUGAAAGGCAUUUACAAAAGAUGCUUAAUGGUUAGAGAGAAGGAUGGACAGAUGGAUAGUUAUAUGAUAAAGCAAAUUUAGUAAAUUUUAAAUCUAGAAUCUAGGUAGAAACAUAUAGGUGUUCACUGGAUAAUCUUUUUGACUUUUUUUCUGUUUCAAAUUGUCAUAAUAAAAUAAAAAUAAUUUAAAACUUAAAAAUAAAACAAACAUCCCAGUUUAUUCACAAAGCCUUCCCAUCCAACUCUAGUGAUAGUCAUUAAGAACCCAAGUUUAUACAUCAGACAGAUUUGAAUUCACGGCUUAGCUCCCCCUCUUGCUAGCUGGGUGAUUUGGGGCAAGUUGUAUAAUAACUCAGAACUUCAUUUUCCUCAUUUAUAAAAUGAACAUAAUAAUAACACUUCAUAGGUGUUGUGGAGGCUAAUUGAGAUUUGUACUUAUAAAAGUGCUUAGCUGGCUGGGUGCAGUGGCUCAUACCUGUAAACCCAGCACUUUGGCAGGCCAAGACAGGAGGAUUGCUUCAGCCCAAGAGUUUGAGAUCAGCCUAGGCAAUAUGGUGAAAACCUGUCUCUACCAAAAAAAAAAGUUAAAAACUUAGCUAGGCAUGGUGGCACAUGCCUGUGGACCCAGCUACUUGGGAGGCUGAGGUGGGAGGAUCACUUGAGCCCAGAAGGUCAAGGCUGCAAUGAAUGAUGAUUGUGUCACUGCACUCCAGCCUGGGCAACACAGCAAGACCUUGUCAAAAAAAAAAUGGAUAAAUGGAUAAAGUGCUUAGCACAAUAGCUGAAGCCUAGUAAGUGCCCAAUAUGUGUCAGCAGAAAAUACAAAUGCUCCUCCCUUGAAUGCCUAGAGUGUAAGCUAUUUGACGGCAGUAACUCUGUCUCAUUUACCAUUCCCACUAUGUCCACAGAGUAGAAACUUGAGCUUUGUAGAAUGAGUAAAUGUUCACCGUAUAACACCUUUGUUGUUUACCUCUGUUGCUCUUCCUCUGGGAGACUCAUUCAGUUGGUAUUUCUGAAGCAUCUACUAUGAACAAAGGAGCAGCCAUGAGCAGAACCAUUAUGGCCCCACACCUAACCCAAUACUUUAUCCCUGAAAUCAAGUUUCUCUAGCUGAGUGCUGCUGUGCAGGUUGGUGGUUCUCUGACCGUCUAAGGCUUCUUCUGAGAAUAUAUUUGGAGUAGAAGUAUAUGUUUAAGUGGAGAAUAGACAAAAGAGAAGAGUUACUGGUGCUGUCUCCCAACCAGAUGUGGAGUAUGAAGAAAAGGAGGUGAUACAUUCCCCAUGGUCUGACCCACAGACUUUAUGACCUACCCUUUUUGGAUCCCAUUGGAUCAGUUCGAUCUACUGGUUUUAAUAAUGUUGAACUUGGUUUUCCAGUUAAUUUAUUCAAAAUCUUUUCAAAUGACUGUUCAAACUUUUAUCUCAUUAUUUUCUGAAGUAUGUAUUCAGUUUUAAUAUUC